rnacentral:rRNA from 1 species
AUUGAACGCUGGCGGCAGGCCUAACACAUGCAAGUCGAACGGAGCGGCGGACGGGUGAGUAAUGCCUAGGAAUCUGCCUGGUAGUGGGGGAUAACGUCCGGCAACGGGCGCUAAUACCGCAUACUAUCAGAUGAGCCUGGGUCGGAUUAGCGGGUUGGUGGGGUACAGGCUUACCAAUGCGACGAUCCGUCACUGGUCGGAGGGGAAGAGCAGUCACACGGGAACUGAGACAGGGGCCCGACCCCUAGUGUAGGCAGCAGGGGGGAAUAGUGGACAAUGGGCGAAAGCCUGAUCCAGCCAGGCCGCGGGUGUGAAGAAGGUCUUCGGAUGGGAAAGCACUUUAAGUUGGGAGGCGUUCCCAACAGAAUAAGCACUGGAUAACUUCGGGCCAGCAGCCGCGGUAAUUC